AACUUAAUAGCAUAAACAGGUGCCUCGAUAGUCCGAGGAGAAUAGGGAAGACGGGUGAGAUUCCCGCGCGGUCCCGCCGCUGUAUGCGAGGAGCUUUCCUCAAAAUGCCACUGGUUUUUCCCGGGAAGGCGAGGAAAUGCGAUGAUCCGCAAGCCAGAAGACCUGCCUGUUUAGGUGUCAUCUU
rnacentral:ncRNA from 2 species